UUGGUGUACAAUAAAUUUAUUGUACACCUUGUGCGCGCAAAACCUUUUGAACCAUUUUAGUGUGCCGCGUCAUCACGUUAAACGCCGCAAAGUGUUGUCCCAGAAACAUAUUCACCCGCGUUUAGCUUCUUUCUUUUGCUUCUCGUCAUUUCACAAAACCACAUUCUUCUUCCUUCAACCUCAUCUCCACCAUCGUCGUCUGUCCUUCGACCUCAUUCCACCACCGAAUUCACCGGGAAAGUGAAGCUUCAGAUUCAUCUCCACCGUCAAUGUCUGUCCUUCGACCUCAUCUCCACCACUGCCUUUCUUACUUAAGGAUGUUUAGGUAAGGUGCUUCGAAGAAAGAAGAUCACAAAUUUGAGAAAAACACAAGUUUUAUUCCAGAAUGAUGGAGGCUGUUCCAACCUCAAGUGAUAGAAGAUAAUUCAGAAGGUUUGCACAUCACUGAGUGGAGAUCCUUUCACCGAUGAGCAAAUUGAUGAAAUACGAGACAAAUGGGCAUCAUACUUCACAGAACAUUGUGUGUAAUUAACGCUUCAUCGAUCUCUUUUUGUGGAUGUUUCAUGCUAUUAAAUUCAUGUGUAAUUGCUUAUUUUAUUUUUGGUGCAAUUUUGUAACGUAUGAUAUAGUUAUUAUAGACUUGAACCUAUUUAGGUGGUUUAUUUUUGUAAACAUAUGAUGGUUAAUUUAUAUGUAAAAAUCAAAGU